UACGUAGGCAGCAAGCGUUGUUCGGAGUUACUGGGCGUAAAGGGUGCGUAGGCGGCUUUUUAAGUUUGGUGUGAAAUCUCCCGGCUCAACUGGGAGGGUGCGCCGAAUACUGAGAGGCUAGAGUGCGGGAGAGGAAAGUGGAAUUCCUGGUGUAGCGGUGAAAUGCGUAGAUAUCAGAAGGAACACCGGUGGUGUAAACGGCUUUCUGGACCGUAACUGACGCUGAUGCACGAAAGCUAGGGGAGCAAACGGG
rnacentral:rRNA from 1 species